AAUAUACCCUUUUCUCAACAUUUUAUUACACACACAAAAGGGUAAAUUCGUAACUAACAAAAUACCACACCACUUUCAAUAUACAAACUCCAAGUGUUCCAUUUUUAUUGGUGCAUAUUAAAAAAUAUUUUUUCCCUCCAUUAGACAGCUUCUCUUUUUCAUAACAUUUGCCUUUCCCCUAUCUCUCUCUCUCUCUCUCUCUCUCUCUCUCUCUCGUAACUCUCUUCUCCCUCUUUUUCACUCAAACCCUAAAACUCCGCCACCGACAACAAGUUCAACCGUGAAACACCAACAAAACUGAUCUUCAUCUUCACUUCCACACAACCAUUAAAUCGAAAACCCCUUCCACUGUUUCUUCCAAAACCGGAUCUAUACCAUAAUGCACAAGGCUUUUCUGUGAGUUUAUUCAAACCGUGAGUUUAUUCGCAAGGAUUUUCUGUUCUGUUUUUGGGUUGCUGCGUUUUGUUAAUUUCUGUGCAGGUUAUGAACUCAUUCAUUCCAAAGGGAAAGGGCUGCCAGAGUGCUCAAUGAAGCAUCAAAGCGAGAGCUUUUCUCUGAACUUUUUCGUAAAAUUAAACUGGUGUGGUCUGUGGAUGUACACAGGAUGUCUGAAGGUGGUGCAUUAACAACAUUGUCAAUUUAGUUGAAUGAUAUGCAGGAGGUGUUCAUGACUGGAAAGGAUCUUCCUGAACUUGCAGCCGUUGUUGUGGUUCGGGGUAAAAUGGAGGAAAGCGCAGAUGCCCAAGAUUUUUCCAUCGCAAAGGCUGCAUUUUCGUUCUUGCCAGAGGCUGAAGCAAUAUCCUUUACCCAUAAACUUCCAACAUACAGGGCUUUAGUGGAUGAUACUGAAUUUUGCCGUUAUGUUGAGUUGUAUGCAAAGGUAAUUGGGAUUGUUUAAUUAAAAUAACAUAUACAUGCUGAAAAAUGAUUUCAUGUUGUGUCCUGCCAAUUAUGAUUUUUCAAUAGCAUUUCAUACCGUGUCCUGCCAAUGCCGUGUUUUGUUACAUAUUAUUAAUGCUGACGUUUCAUAGAUUUCCCCCCAUCUUGUGAAUUGAGUUUUUUUUCCCAUGUGCAUUUAUAUGUAGACUAACCUACCCAAGACAUUAAUAUUAAGUUUCUAUUUUGCUCCAAAUCCAUUGAAGAAAAUCAUUCAUAGUUAUUUGCAUAAAAAAUCCGACUGUUGUUCCUCCUUCUAACUCUCCCUCUGGCAGGAUGAGGAUGCAUUUUUCCGAGUUGGAGUUGGAGUUGUAGUUACCGCUGCAGUGGUCAUCCUCAGUUACGGGGAUUUCUUCCAGAGAUCAAAUAGAGCAUCUUACUGCUCAAGCAUGGCAUUCAGAUAAUAAAAAAUUAGAACAAAAGGUCCAGUGGAGCUUGCUGCUGUAGGAAUUUCCAUAGCUCUUUUCAAUCAAGCAUCGCGAAUUGCAAUAUUCCCGCUUGUCAAUGUCGCGAA